CAGAGACUGCAAGCGUUAUUCGGAUUCACUGGGCGUAAAGGGUGCGCAGGCGGCCAAGUGUGUGAGGCGUGAAAGCCUGGGGCUUAACUCCAGAAUUGCACCUCAAACUACAUGGCUGGAGCAUUGGAGAGGGUAGCAGAAUUCACGGUGUAGCAGUGAAAUGCGUAGAUAUCGUGAGGAAUACCAGAGGCGAAGGCGGCUACCUGGACAAUUGCUGACGCUCAGGCACGAAAGCGUGGGGAGCAAAAGGGAUUAGAUACCCCUGUAGUCCACGCCCUAAACGGUGCACACUAGGUCUUGGCGGAUUCGACCCCCCCAGGGCCCAAGCUAACGCGUUAAGUGUGCCGCCUGAGGACUACGGCCGCAAGGCUA
rnacentral:rRNA from 1 species